rnacentral:tRNA from 1 species
GGAUUGUAGCUCAGUGGUAGAAUGCUUGUCUCACAAGCAUGAGGCCCUAGGUUUGAUACUCAGCACCA